AAAAAAUGUCUUGCAUCUGUUAAUGGUAUCAUCAUUCUGUAAAAAGUUAAUCAAAAUCGGAGUUUUUUAAUUGGGUAAUUUUCGUAGACCGCAGGUCCUCUCAAAACACGGGGCCAGAUUCUGGCGAACGCUCUGAACCUGCCUUGUGCCAGCCCCGGUAACUCUGAAUUAUUUUAUAUUUAUUUUUCAGGUUCUUUCUUAAAGCAUAGUAAAAUUGUUUACCUUUAUGUAUAAAUUUUCUCUUUGUAGAAUAUCUUAUCCAGUCCUGAAUGAGAAGUGAUUCUUGUUCUUCAGUUGCUUCAUUUUUCUAUGAUUGUGACUGAAUCUAUCAGUAGUCAGAUUGAUUUCUCUCAUUUGAGAAGAUGCUUUUUAACU
rnacentral:lncRNA from 1 species